GUUUUUUAACUUCUCUUUUACUUUUCAUGUUCUGAGGACAGGUUGAGUUCAGGUUUCACGGUGGAGACGGAGACAUGUGAAAAGACUUCGUCAGGAGACAGAGGGGACAAAACAGGACGAGGUGUAGAGACGACGGUGGAAGGCGCCGGUGAAACUUCAGACCCUGACGUUGAAUCCUGCAGCUUUAAAAGCAGAACUUCUGAUCCGACUCCAACAUAUAACACGUAUUUAUUCUCCUUUCCUCAUUUAACUAAACGUGCUCUGAUCCUGUUAAAUUUCUGCUAAAAACACAAUAAACGGCGUCAUCGUUUUUCGUUUCUUCUUCAUGUCCCAGAUCAGUAACGUGGUGCGUUUGGCUUCAACGCUGAAGCUGUUUCAAUGUGAGGAAUAUGAGGACGUGUGUGAAAGCUAAUUUAUUAGACAGUAGAAGUGCAGGAGACUUGACAGCGUGAGCCACCGUGCAGAGGGCGUAAAUCCUGGUGUGUUUGGAGGAGGUGGUUUCUGCGGUUGCGAUGGCUCCGGUUCGGGGGCCGCGGCUUUGAUUUAGUCGGCCGUGACAGGAGCAGCCGUUAGGAGGCCAAAGGUGUGUUUGAAAACUGUGAGAAAAGCCUCAUAGCUCAGUCUGGGGAUCCGAUUCUGGACGUCAGGCCGUUAUUUCCUCAACAGUUCGACUGGAAAACGUUCAGAAUAAAAUUUACCGGAGCAGAUCCAGAUUAUCCUAAUGUUUGGGACGUAUUUCAAUGGUUAACCACCCGCACACACACACUUUACUUAAUGUUUGAUUUCCUGCAUAUUUCAUGUGAAUUUUAAACUUUAUUUAUUUAUUUUUUUGGUGAAUUUGACUUCUACCUCAUUCUAGUUUUAUUUUAUUUUAUUCUAACGUCCCUGCCCGGAUCAAUAAAGUGACGUUAGAGGAACU